rfam:Nematostella vectensis strain CH2 x CH6 NEMVEscaffold_564_Cont30120, whole genome shotgun sequence.
GACUCCGUGGCGCAAUGGUUGCGCGUUUGACUCCAGAUAAGAAGGUUGCGUGUUCAAAUCACGUCGGGGUCA